rnacentral:rRNA from 1 species
UACAGAGGGGGCAAGCGUUAUUCGGAAUUAUUGGGCGUAAAGGGCGCGUAGGCGGCCUGGCAAGUGACGGGUGAAAGCCCUCGGCUCAACCGAGGAACUGCCUGUCAUACUGCCGGGCUUGAGUCCGGGAGAGGUGAGUGGAAUUCCCAGUGUAGCGGUGAAAUGCGUAGAUAUUGGGAGGAACACCAGUGGCGAAGGCGGCUCACUGGACCGGAACUGACGCUGAGGUGCGAAAGCGUGGGGAGCAAACAGG